GAUGAACGCUGGCGGCGUGCCUUAUACAUGCAAGUCGAAUGGGUUUAGACUCACUGCAACCGGUUGAGUAACACGUAUGUACUUUCCUUGUCACAGGAAUAACCCUCCGAAAUUAGGGCUAAUACCUGAUGUGAUCGCAAUAUCAAAGUGUAUCCGCAAUGAUUACCGGACAAGAAGAGGCCUGCUGCCUAUCAGCUAGUUGGCGGGGUAAAUGCCCACCAAGGCUAUGACGGGUAGCUGGUCUUAUGAGGAUGAUCAGUCACAUGGGCACUGAGACACGGGCCCAACUCCUACGGGAGGCAGCAGUAGGGAAUUUUGCGCAAUGGGCGAAAGCCUGAAGCAGCGACGCGGCGUGAGGGAUGAAGGUCUUCGGGUAGUAAACCGCGUUUAUAACGGACGAACUUUGACGGUACCUGAUGAAUAAGAGGCUGCUAACUAUGUG
rnacentral:rRNA from 1 species